AUACGGAGGAUCCGAGCGUUAUCCGGAUUUAUUGGGUUUAAAGGGAGCGUAGGCGGACUAUUAAGUCAGCUGUGAAAGUUUGCGGCUCAACCGUAAAAUUGCAGUUGAUACUGGUCGUCUUGAGUGCAGUAGAGGUAGGCGGAAUUCGUGGUGUAGCGGUGAAAUGCUUAGAUAUCACGAAGAACUCCGAUUGCGAAGGCAGCUUACUGGACUGUAACUGACGCUGAUGCUCGAAAGUGUGGGUAUCAAACAGGAUUAGAUACCCUGGUAGUCCACACAGCAAACGAUGAAUACUCGCUGUUUGCGAUAUACGGCAAGCGGCCAAGCGAAAGCAUUAAGUAUUCCACCUGGGGAGUACGCCGGCAACGGUGAAACUCAAAUGAAUUGACGGGG
rnacentral:rRNA from 1 species